rnacentral:rRNA from 1 species
GAGGAAUAUUGGACAAUGGGCGAGAGCCUGAUCCAGCCAUGCCGCGUGCAGGAAGACGGCCCUAUGGGUUGUAAACUGCUUUUAUACAGGAAGAAACACCUCUACG